GACGUAGGCUCCAAGCGUUGUCCGGAUUUAUUGGGCGUAAAGAGCUUGUAGGCGGUUUGUUAAGUCGGGCGUGAAAACUCUGGGCUCAACCCAGAGAGGCCACUCGAUACUGCUAUGACUUGAGUACGGUAGGGGAGUGGGGAAUUUCUAGUGUAGCGGUGAAAUGCGCAGAUAUUAGAAGGAACACCAGUGGCGAAGGCGCCACUCUGGGCCGUAACUGACGCUGAGGAGCGAAAGCAUGGGUAGCAAACAGG
rnacentral:rRNA from 1 species